rnacentral:rRNA from 1 species
UACGUAGGGUCCGAGCGUUGUCCGGAAUUAUUGGGCGUAAAGAGCUUGUAGGCGGUUUGUCGCGUCUGCUGUGAAAAUCCGGGGCUCAACCCCGAACUUGCAGUGGGUACGGGCAGACUAGAGUGUGGUAGGGGAGACUGGAAUUCCUGGUGUAGCGGUGAAAUGCGCAGAUAUCAGGAGGAACACCGAUGGCGAAGGCAGGUCUCUGGGCCACUACUGACGCUGAGAAGCGAAAGCAUGGGGAGCGAACAGG